GGAAUAAAAUCCUUCAAAAAGGAGGAAAAUUUUUAAAAAUCCUUCAAAAAGGAGGAAAAAUGGAAUAAAAUCCUUCAAAAUGUGCUUUAAAAUGGAGGGAAAAUCCUUCAAAAUUAUGGAAAAUUCCUUCCAAAAUGAGGAAAAAUCCUGGCAAAUGGAAGGGAAUUCCUUCAAAGUGAGUGAGAACCCCUGGGAUGGAUGAAGAGGGGAGUGGGGUGGGAAUUCCUGGUGGGAUUGAGGCUGGAGAAGACCUCAAAAAUCGUGGAGUCAACCAAAGAUGGUCCAGGAAGAUCUCAAGAACUUGGAAAAGUCAGGUUUGAAACGGGAAAUGGAGGAAAUCCUCUGAGUUUUUCCCCCAAAACCACCUUGGAGAUGGUUGAAGUCUCCAGUGGGAAUCCGUGGUGGGCUUGAGGUUGGAAAAGACCUCGAAAAUCACGGAGUCGACCAGAGAUGGUCCAAGAAGAUGGAGGAGAACUCCAGAAGCAGCUUUUGAAUAAGAAAUUGAGGAAAUCCUCUGAAUUUUCCCCCCAAAACCACCAAUUUUUCAUCCCAAAACCACCUUGGAGAUGGUUGAGAUCUCCAGUGGGAACCCACGGUGGAACCUCUACUGAAGGUGACCCAAGAUCUCAAGAACCUGAAAACGGCACCUUUUAAACGAGAAAAUAAACGAGCAAAUCCCAUCACUUUUCCCUUAAAUCCACCUCGGACAGAAUCAGAACUCCAAGAAACUCCCAAAAUUCCAUGGCCCCUGCCCCACCCCACGUCCAGGAGUUGAUUUUCGGCGCGGAACCUCCCGGUCCGUGGGGUCCCCCCGUUCGGGAGCCGCGGCGGCGCCGAGCCCGGCGUCACCCCCGGCCCCCCGCUGUGCUUGCAGGACGUGUUCGAGAUGCGCUUUGCCAAGAUGCCGGACGAGCCGGAGGAGCCGGCCGUGCCCGCCUCGUCGCCGGUGGUGGUGCCACCUCCCACCAAGGUGGCGCCGCCCUCGUCCAGCGACAGCAGCAGCGACAGCUCCUCGGACAGCGACAGCUCCUCCGACGACUCCGAGGAGGAGCGGGCGCAGCGCUUGGCCGAGCUGCAGGAGCAGCUGAAGGCCGUGCACGAGCAGCUGGCGGCGCUGUCCCAGCCCCAGCAGAACAAACCAAAGAAGAAGGAGAAGGACAAGAAGGAGAAGAAGAAGGAGAAGCACAAAAAGAAGGAGGAGCUGGACGAGGCCAAGAAGAGCAAGGCCAAGGAGCCGCCGCCCAAGAAGGCCAAGAAGAGCAACAGCAGCAGCAGCAGCAGCGCCUCCAGCAAGAAGGAGCCGGCGCCGGUGAAGCCCAGCAAAGCCGCGCCCGCCUACGAGUCGGAGGAGGAGGAGAAGUGCAAGCCCAUGUCCUACGAGGAGAAGCGGCAGCUGAGCCUGGACAUCAACAAACUGCCCGGCGAGAAGCUUGGGCGCGUGGUGCACAUCAUCCAGUCCCGCGAGCCCUCGCUCAAGAACUCCAACCCCGACGAGAUCGAGAUCGACUUCGAGACGCUGAAGCCGUCGACGCUGCGCGAGCUCGAGCGCUACGUCACCUCCUGCCUGCGCAAGAAGAGGAAAGCCCCAGAGAAGCUCGACGUCCUGGCCGGCUCCUCCAAGCUCAAGGGAUUCUCCUCGUCGGAGUCGGAAUCCAGCAGCGAGUCGAGCUCUUCCGACAGCGACGAGUCGGACUCAGAGAUGGCGCCGAAGUUGAAGAAAAAAGGGCACUCGGGGCGGGAGCAGAAAAAGCACCACCACCACCACCACCAGCCGCCGCCGCAGCCGCCGCCGGCGCCGCCGCAGCCCGCGCCGCCGGCGCUGCAGCCGCCGCAGCCGCCGCCCGUCCCGCAGCCCGCGGCGCCGCUGAAGGCGUCGCCGCCGCCGCCCUUCGUCGCCGCGCCGGUGCCCGUCCUGGAGCACCCCUUGCCGGGGACCAUGUUCGACACCAUGGCCCACUUCGGCCAACCCAUCCUGCACCUGCCCCAGGCCGAGCUGCCCCCGCCCCACCUGCCCCCGGCGCCCGAGCACAGCCCCUCGCCCCACCUCAACCAGCACGUGGUGUCUCCUCCAGGUGAGCCGGGCACGGGCCUCGGCGUCCACCGUGGGCUCCUCGGGGUGUCCCGGGAGGAUGAGGGCAGUGGUAGAUGGAGGAAGGAGAUUCUUGGGUCUUGGUGUCCACCAUGGGCUCCUCGGGGUGUCCCGGGAGGAUGAGGGCGGUGAUAGAUGGGGAAAGAGAGGUUCUUGGGUCUUGGUGUCCACCAUCAGCUCCUCGGGGUGUCCCGGGAGGAUGAGGGCGGUGGUAGAUGGAGGAAGGAGGUUCUUCACUCUUGGUGUCCACCAUCAGCUCCUCGGGGUGUCCCGGGAGGAACAGGAUGGUGAUAGAUGGGCAAAGGGAGGUUCUUCACUCUUGGUGUCCACCAUGGGCUCCUCGGGGUGUCCCGGGAGGAACAGGAUGGUGAUAGAUGGGCAAAGGGAGGUUCUUCACUCUUGGUGUCCACCAUGGGCUCCUUGGGGUGUCCCGGGAGGAUGAGCGUGGUGGUAGAUGGAGGAAAGGGAGGUUCUUCACUCUUGGGGUUCACCAUCGGCUCCUCGGGGUGUCCCGGGAGGAACAGGAUGGUGAUAGAUGGAGGAAAGGGAGGUUCUUCACUCUUGGUGUCCACCAUCGGCUCCUCGGGGUGUCCCAAGAGGAUGAGCAUGGUGAUAGAUGGAGGAAAGGGAGGUUCUUCACUCUUGGGGUUCACCAUGGGCUCCUCGGGGUGUCCCGGGAGGAUGAGGAUGGUGAUAGAUGGGCAAAGGGAGGUUCUUCACUCUUGGUGUCCACCAUGGGCUCCUCGGGGUGUCCCGGGAGGAACAGGAUGGUGGU
ensembl:lncRNA